rnacentral:rRNA from 1 species
UACGUAGGUGGCGAGCGUUGUCCGGAUUUACUGGGCGUAAAGCGCGCGCAGGCGGUUCUGUAAGUCCUGGGUGAAAUCGCCCGGCUCAACUGGGCGGGGGCCUGGGGGACUGCGGGACUGGAGGGGCCUAGAGGCCGGUGGAACUCCCGGUGUAGUGGUGAAAUGCGUAGAGAUCGGAAAGAACACCAACGGCGAAAGCACUCUGCUGGGCCGACACUGACACUGAGAGACGAAAGCUAGGGGAGCGAAUGGG